ACUCCUACGGGAGGCAGCAGUGGGGAAUCUUGGACAAUGGGGGCAACCCUGAUCCAGCGACGCCGCGUGGGUGACGAAGGCCUUAGGGUUGUAAAGCCCUUUUCUCGGGGAAGAUGAUGACGGUACCCGAGGAAUAAGCACCGGCUAACUCCGUGCCAGCAGCCGCGGUAAUAC
rnacentral:rRNA from 1 species